UGCGUAGGCGGAUUAAUAAGUCAGUGGUGAAAACCUGCAGCUUAACUGUAGAACUGCCAUUGAUACUGUUAGUCUUGAGUACGGUCAAGGUAGGCGGAAUGUGUAAUGUAGCGGUGAAAUGCUUAGAUAUUACACAGAACACCGAUUGCGAAGGCAGCUUACUGGACCAUUACUGACGCUGAGGCACGAAAGCGUGGGGAGCAAACAGGAUUAGAUACCCUGGUAGUCC
rnacentral:rRNA from 1 species